AGGCAGAGAAGCUAGAAGAGAAUACUGAGAAUACUGGUAAAACCCAUGAUGGGGUGACACAAACAUGCCAUCUCUCCCUUGAGGGCCACUG